rnacentral:rRNA from 1 species
CCUACGGGAGGCAGCAGUGAGGAAUAUUGGUCAAUGGGCGCGCGCCUGAACCAGCCAAGUAGCGUGAAGGAUGACUGCCCUACGGGUUGUAAACUUCUUUUAUAAAGGAAUAAAGUGAGGCACGUGUGCCUUUUUGUAUGUACUUUAUGAAUAAGGCUCGGCUAACUCCGUGCCAUCAGCCGCGGUAAUACGGAGGAUCCGAGCGUUAUCCGGAUUUAUUGGGUUGAAAGGGAGAGUAGAUGGGUUGUUAAGUCAGUUGUGAAAGUUUGCGGCUCAAACGUAAAAUUGCAAUUGAUACUGGCAGUCUUGAGUACAGUUGAGGUAGGCGGAAUUCGUGGUGUAGCGGUGAAAUGCUUAGAUAUCACGAAGAACUCCGAUUGCGAAGGCAGCUUACUAAACUGCCACUGACAUUGAUGCUCGAAAGUGUGGGUAUCAAACAGGAUUAGAUACCCUAGUAGUC